CGCGUAUCCAACCUGCCCACCACUUGGGGAUAACCUUGCGAAAGUAAGACUAAUACCCAAUGACGUCUCUAGAGGACAUCUGAAAGAGAUUAAAGAUUUAUCGGUGAUGGAUGGGGAUGCGUCUGAUUAGCUUGUUGGCGGGGUAACGGCCCACCAAGGCUACGAUCAGUAGGGGUUCUGAGAGGAAGGUCCCCCACAUUGGAACUGAGACACGGUCCAAACUCCUACGGGAGGCAGCAGUGAGGAAUAUUGGUCAAUGGACGAGAGUCUGAACCAGCCAAGUAGCGUGCAGGAUGACGGCCCUAUGGGUUGUAAACUGCUUUUAUAAGGGAAUAAAGUGAGUCUCGUGAGACUUUUUGCAUGUACCUUAUGAAUAAGGACCGGCUAAUUCCGUGCCAGCAGCCGCGGUAAUACGGAAGGUCCGGGCGUUAUCCGGAUUUAUUGGGUUUAAAGGGAGCGUAGGCCGGAGAUUAAGCGUGUUGUGAAAUGUAGAUGCUCAACAUCUGCACUGCAGCGCGAACUGGUUUCCUUGAGUACGCACAAAGUGGGCGGAAUUCGUGGUGUAGCGGUGAAAUGCUUAGAUAUCACGAAGAACUCCGAUUGCGAAGGCAGCUCACUGGAGCGCAACUGACGCUGAAGCUCGAAAGUGCGGGUAUCGAACAGGAUUAGAUACCCUGGUAGUCCGCAC
rnacentral:rRNA from 1 species